CUACUUCUUCCUGAAUUUGCCUUUGUUGGGGUAGUGGAGCUCUCGGCUGCCCCCAGUCAUGACUUGCUGGUCUAGGCUGCUCUUCCAUGUGUUUGGCUCGUCUAUGCCGCGGAUGCAGUGCAUGUGAUGCGUUCCUAGUAGGCGAGCGAGUUCUUCGCAUGCUGCUGGUUGAACUUGAGCUGGAUUGAGUGACUGCUUCUCUCCGUCUGUCGUGCUGCCUACUCUGAUGUGAGGUGCAGGACGCUCCUUGUGG
rnacentral:lncRNA from 1 species